rnacentral:rRNA from 1 species
GACGAACGCUGGCGGCGUGCUUAACACAUGCAAGUCGAACGGUGAAGCAGAGCUUGCUCUGUGGAUCAGUGGCGAACGGGUGAGUAACACGUGAGUAACCUGCCCUUGACUCUGGGAUAAGCGUUGGAAACGACGUCUAAUACCGGAUACGAGCUGAGACCGCAUGGUCAUCAGUUGGAAAGAUUUUUUGGUCAAGGAUGGACUCACGGCCUAUCAGCUUGUUGGUGAGGUAAUGGCUCACCAAGGCGACGACGGGUAGCCGGCCUGAGAGGGUGACCGGCCACACUGGGACUGAGACACGGCCCAGACUCCUACGGGAGGCAGCAGUGGGGAAUAUUGCACAAUGGGCGCAAGCCUGAUGCAGCAACGCCGCGUGAGGGAUGACGGCCUUCGGGUUGUAAACCUCUUUUAGUAGGGAAGAAGCGAAAGUGACGGUACCUGCAGAAAAAGCACCGGCUAACUACGUG